CUCAGCUCAGCUGACUGGGACUCAGUGUGCACUUCGAUGGGGACAAAGUCGGCAAGCGGGGAAAGCUGAGACUCUGGCUGGCUCUCACAACACUGCAUGCUUUCCAGCCAUGGCAUUUUAAAAAUCAUGUGAGGGUUCUCAUGUGCACACUCUUGCCAAGAAAGAAGCUCAACUACUGUCUACAGUUGCAUAAACAGUCAACUCAGGAGCCGGGUAACCUGUUGAAAAUGCCUGACGUUGGAGAGGUAGUUGCGGCUCUCUGACCUUCCGCUUGCCGAUGAAACAUCCUCCCCAUUUUGGCUUCCCGAUCUCCCAUUUCCAGAGUAAGAGCGGGUCAUGGGUCUCCUGGAUGUCAUUGUCCAA